rnacentral:rRNA from 1 species
GACGAACGCUGGCGGCGUGCUUAACACAUGCAAGUCGAACGAAAAUACCAAGCUUGCUUGGUUGAUUAGUGGCGAACGGGUGAGUAACACGUGAGUAACCUGCCCCUUACUUUCCUGGAUAACUGCUCGAAAGGGUAGCUAAUACGGGAUAUUCUGACCUGCCUGCAUGGGUUGGUUUGGAAAGGUUAUUUUUUUUCUGGUAAGGGAUGGGCUCGCGGCCUAUCAGCUUGUUGGUGAGGUGAUGGCCUACCAAGGCUUUGACGGGUAGCCGGCCUGAGAGGGUGGACGGUCACACUGGAACUGAGAUACGGCCCAGACUCCUACGGGAGGCAGCAUUGUUCAAUAUUGAACCAUGUUUACCAACCUAAAGUCUUCACGCCCCCGCGGCGUGAAAGGCCUCGCGGUGCGCCCAAUGUGCGUAUUCCCAACUGGGACUCCCUUUUGGGGGGGGGGGGGGGGCUCAGGCCCAGAGUGACCGGGCCACCCCCUCGGGCCGGCACCCGUUAAAACCUUGGGCGGGCAUCAUCUCCCCAAUUAAGCGGAUGGGCCACGCCCCCAUCCCUUAGUAAAAAAAAAAUAGACCAACCCUCCCCGCCCCAGGAGGGGGGUGGAGAAGGUCCCGCCUGGCUAGCUGUGGAGAGUUACCGGGAGUGGGGGGUAGUGAUUUAAUGCUUACUCCCGCAAACCCCGAUGAAGAGUUUUUGUGUGUUCUUUUUUGAGUUGAAGGGGCAAGCCCUGGGCCGCCAUUAUCUUAAACCACAUAUAUCUCAAAGGGCG